rnacentral:lncRNA from 10 species
CCUCACUCUGGCAUUGUGGGCUGCUCCAGCAAGCCCCGCAUUCUGAGGCUUCGUUGGGUGAGGAGCAGACACCAGUGUUUGUGCCUCUAAACUUCAGAGGACAGAUGUUAAUUUCUGCUGAGAAUUUCCUUAUGCAGUACUGGGUGCAGCUAUAAAUUUCUACAGCUCUGCCAAGGAUUUAUGUUAAUAGAAGCCAUCGCUUAACAUCUUGGGUCUCAACUUAGCUUUAAAAUAGGGAAGAUAAAAUCCACUUCAUAAAGUGGUAAAGUUUGAAUCAACUCACGUAAAGUACUUAGAACAGCAUCAGAAACACGGACACCUGGCUUGUACUUCAGGAGGGAAUCCCACAGGCUCCAGAUUAAAUUUUCUUCAAAUGUCUUCCCUUUCUCCAGCCAUGGUCACAAUGCCACUGACCACUGAGUGAAGACCUGUGAGUGGGAACUGAGGAGCUUGAGAAACCUAAAAUCCUGACAGUGUCCACCUGAAAGAGCGCUG